rnacentral:rRNA from 1 species
AUACCGGAUAUGACUACAGGCUUCAUGGUUUGUGGUGGAAAGCUUUUGCGGUGUGGGGUGGGCCCGCGGCCUAUCAGCUUGUUGGUGGGGUAAUGGCCUACCAAGGCGACGACGGGUAGCCGGCCUGAGAGGGUGUCCGGCCACACUGGGACUGAGAUACGGCCCAGACUCCUACGGGAGGCAGCAGUGGGGAAUAUUGCACAAUGGGCGCAAGCCUGAUGCAGCGACGCCGCGUGGGGGAUGACGGCCUUCGGGUUGUAAACCUCUUUCAGCUCUGACGAAGCGCAAGUGACGGUAGGAGCAGAAGAAGGACCGGCCAACUACGUGCCAGCAGCCGCGGUAAUACGUAGGGUCCGAGCGUUGUCCGGAAUUACUGGGCGUAAAGAGCUCGUAGGUGGUUUGUCGCGUUGUUCGUGAAAUCUCACAACUCAAUUGUGAGCGUGCGGGCGAUACGGGCAGACUGGAGUACUGCAGGGGAGACUGGAAUUCCUGGUGUAGCGGUGGAAUGCGCAGAUAUCAGGAGGAACACCGGUGGCGAAGGCGGGUCUCUGGGCAGUAACUGACGCUGAGGAGCGAAAGCGUGGGGAGCGA